rnacentral:rRNA from 1 species
AGGUCUUGACAUCCCGAUGCUAUUUCUAGAGAUAGAAAGUUACUUCGGUACAUCGGUGACAGGUUGGUGCAUGGUUGUCGUCAGCUCGUGUCGUGAGAUGUUGGGUUAAGUCCCGCAACGAGCGCAACCCCUAUUGUUAGUUGCCAUCAUUCAGUUGGGCACUCUAGCGAGACUGCCGGUAAUAAACCGGAGGAAGGUGGGAUGACGUCAAAUCAUCAUGCCCCUUAUGACCUGGGCUACACACGUGCUACAAUGGUUGGUACAACGAGUUGCGAGUCGGUGACGGCGAGCUAAUCUCUUAAAGCCAAUCUCAGUUCGGAUUGUAGGCUGCAAUUCGCCUGCAUGAAGUCGGAAUCGCUAGUAAUCGCAGGUCAGCAUACUGCGGUGAAUACGUUCCCGGGCCUU